ACUUGCUCUGACAGAAUAUAUGCUAACAUUGGAACGAUACAGUGACGACUGUCAUGAUCCCUGUGGCAUGAUGACAUACAGUUUUAUGAAGUAGUUCAAGUUUUA